AAAGACAGACACUACCUCAGAGUAAAAGGUUGGAAUACAAUUUUUCAAGCAAAUAGUUCCAAGAAACAAGCUGGAGUAGCCAUUCUAAUAUCAAAUAAAAUCAACUUUUAACAAAAAGUUAUCAGAAAGGAUAAGGAAGGACACUUCAUAGUUGUCAAAGGAAAAAAUCUACCAAGAUGAACUCUCAAUUCUGAAUAUUGAUGCUCCAAAUGCAAGAGCACCCACAUUCAUAAAAGAAACUCCAGUAAAGCUCAAAGCAUACAAUGCACACCACAAAAUAAUAGUGGCAGACUUCAACACCCUAUUCUCAGCAAUGGACAGAUCAUGAAAACAGAAACUAAAGAGAGACACAUUGAAACUCACAGAAGUUAUAAACCAAAUGGAUCUAACAGAUAUUUAUGGAACACUUCAUCUUAAAGCAAAAGAAUAUACUUUCUUCUCAGCACCUCAUGGUACCUUCUCCAAAAUUGACAAUAUAAUUGUCCACAAAAUAGGCCUCAACAGAUACAAGAAGAUUGGAAUAAUUCUAUGUACCCUAUCAGAUCACAACAGACAAAGGCUGGUCUUAAUUUCCAGCAAAAACAAUGGAAAACACACAUACACGUGGAAAGUGAACAAAGGUCUACUCAAUGAUAACUUGGUCAAGGAAGAAAUAAAGAAAGAAAUUAGAGACUUUUUAGAAUUUAAUGAAAAUGAAGACACAUCAUACCAAAACUUAUAGGAUACAAUGAAAGUAGUGGUAAAAGGAAAACUCAUAGCUCUAAGUGCCUCCAAAAAGAAACUGCAGAGAGCUUGCAAUAGUAGCUUAACAGCACACCUGAAAGCUCUAGAACAAAAAGAAGCAAAUAUACCCAAAAGGAGUAGGGAGCCGGAGAAAAUCAAACUCAGGGCUGAAAUCAACCAAAUAGAAACAAAAAGAAGUAUACAAAGAAUCAACAAAACCAAGAGCUGAUUCUUUGAGAAAAUCUACAAGAUAGAUAAACCCUUAGCCAGACUAACCAGAGACAGUAUCCAAAUUAAUAAAAUCAGAAAUGAAAAGGGAGAGGUAACAACAGAAACUGUGGAAAUUCAAAAAAUCAUCAGAUCCUACUACAAAAGUUUAUACUCAACUUAAUUGGAAAAUCUGGUGAAAUGGACAGUUUUCUAGACAUAUGCAAGUUGCCAAAGUUAAAACAGGAUCAGAUAUACUAUUUAAACUGUCCCAUGACUCUGAAAGAAAUAGAAGCAGUCAUUAAUAGUCUCCAAACC
rnacentral:lncRNA from 1 species